GAUGAACGCUGGCGGCGUGCCUAAUACAUGCAAGUCGAGCGAACAGACGAGGAUCUUGCUCCUCUGACGUUAUCGGCGGACGGGUGAGUAACACGUGGAUAACCUACCUAUAAGACUGGGAUAACUUCGGGAAACCGGAGCUAAUACCGGAUAAUAUAUUGAACUUCAUGGUUCAAUAGUUAAAUACGGUUUUGCUGUCACUUAUAGAUGGAUCCGCCCCGCAUUAGCUAGUUGGUAAGGUAACGGCUUACCAAGGCGACGAUGCGUAGCCGACCUGAAAGGGUGAUCGGCCACCCUGGAAGUGAGACACGGUACAGACUCCUACGGGAGGACGCAGCAGGGAAUCCUACGCAAUGGGGGAAAGCCUGACGGAGCAAAGCCGCGUAAGUGCUGACGGUCUUCGGAUCGGAAAACUCUGUUAGUAGGGAAGAACAAAUGUGUAAGUAACUAUGCACGUAUUGACGGUACCUAAUCAGAAAGCCACGGCUAACUACGUG
rnacentral:rRNA from 1 species